GUGAAUAGAUUCGAUCAUGCUUUAAACGAGAUGAUUGACAUGUGCUGUAAAUUUCAAAACGGUUUCAAAAGGGACAGUGGGAGUGAGAAUGCAAUCACAAGGAAAAGGUUGCAUAAGAAGAAGGCAAAGAAAUCCAAAGGAACAUGCUUUCAUUGUGGAAAGGAUGAACGUUGGAAGAAGAAAUACAGGGUGUGCAUUGCGAGCCUUAUGACACGUACUUUUGAAGAGACUAUUUCUGUCAUAGAGAGUGCUUUUACAGUGAACUCCAAUUCCUGGAUAUUUGAUUCAGGCGCUAGUCAACAUAUCUGUAAUACGAUGUAGGGACUAGCAGGGAGCAGGUCACUGCGCAAUGGGGAGAUGGUUGUGCGAGUUGGGA
rnacentral:lncRNA from 1 species